rnacentral:sRNA from 1 species
AAGCAAGAAACAUCGGUUAAGUUCGCAGCGUCCUGCUGCAACACCGAUGCCAGCACAUCCGUGUGCU